CCCGGAUAUAAAAUCGUGCUCUCAUUGGCUGAUUUGAAACUCGUCACCAAUGGGAACACGAAUACAUAUCCGGGACUUGAAUUUGCCCCCCAAUAGUCGCGUUCCCUUUUUUUUACUGAAUUAAGAUUACAAUGCCUCCUCUAGUGUUAUUUAUAAUCUCUAUGGUGCUUUCAUCAUUAUACGCGGUGCUUUCGUCAUUAUACGCAAUUAGCGUUACGCCCGGUGCUUUCACCAUUAUACGCGGUGGUUCGAGCAUUAUACGCGGUGGUUCGAGCAUUAUACGCGGUGGUUCGAGCAUUAUACGCGGUGGUUCGAGCAUUAUACGCGGUGCUUUCAUCAUUAUACUCAUUUGCAUCACUAUGUGGUAGUGAGCAUCAUUAUGUGGUAGUGAGCCAGUAUGUUUGGACAGCGGCUUAGAAAGAAUAUUUUAUACUUCGUGUCUCGAUCACAU